AGAGUGAGAUUCAGUCUCAAAAAAAAAAAAAAAAAAAAAAUAGGCUGUGGGUCAGAUUUGGACCUUGGGCCGUAGUUUACUGACCCCCAGCAUAGAACAAACACUACCCCACCAACACAGUGAGUUGUUUGAGGAGAAAGUGACACAAAAGAGAAAGCUCUACUUCCCUUAGCUUCCUUCUGCUUUGAUUUGAGUCUCUGAACUGACCUUGUGCUAAAGCAAGGAAGGGGUUCUGGGCUGGGGGCGGGGUGUGGGGAGAAGUAUGUGAAUCCAUCUUCUCCUGUCUUAGCAGAACCUUCAGAAACCAGCACCUCUCAUGUGCACCUUAUGCUUGCUUCUUUUGUCCUGGCUUUUCUGGUGCAGCAGUUGGCACUCCUGGACAAACCUGACGCACAGCCUCCUCUUUGGGGCGUCUGAUCUGGCCGCGACCUGUUGCAAUUGGCCAACCCCACCUUGUUCAGGCUUCCCCAGCCGUUCCCACACCUUAGUCCCACCCAGGAGCAAGUGCAAACAGGGAGCGCCACAGGAUAUCCACAGGGCCAUUCUUUAAUUAUGCAACGGCUGCCUCGGAAAUACGGAUUUUAAAUGAACAUGUGCACAGUAGCACUGGGCCACAAGCAAGCUGACCUGUCUGGGCAAGCCUGGUGUGGGAGAGGCUCCCCUGCUUCCUCGUUAUUCUAGCUGCGUUUUUCCAGAGUUCAGGGCUGGUGCUGCUGAGAAAGUACCCUCCUAACAGCUUGGUUACUCAGUUCAGGAGCAUCUCCAGUGGCCAAUGGGCUGGACCAGAUAGAAAAAGGGAAAAAUCCCUCACCCCACCAGCUCAGCUGCACCACGGAGCUCUCAAGUUUCCUCCGGCUCACAUUUUCCCGGUCACGUUACCGGGAAGAACAUGCUGUUCUUGAGGUUUGUUUGCGUCUCUACUUUGGGCCUCUUCUGACGAUGCUGCGAGGGAGAACUUGGGUCUAAGAAGCUGCCAGUUCCCUCACGUCGCCACGAGUCAGUUCUGCACCGGGAGCCAGAACUCCUCGGCAAAUGUUGAUUGGGAAACUGGUGGAGUGACAGAUUGCUUCCAGAACAGGAUUUACCGAACGCCCUUCCCACGUGAUAUUCCGGGGGCGGUCAAGCUGUCUAGCAAUAAGGCAGGGUUCUGGGUUUAGGGGCUCUGACUUGGAGCCUCUAAAACCGUGCAGGCACACAAGCCCUGGCAAGGAUGGGACAUGUUACAGGCACUGCUGGGUCAGCUGGCAUGGGACCCUGGGAGGAAUCAGAACUGGCAUUGCUAGGGGCUGUCAUGUGGGCACAGAAAGCCGUUUCAGAAGGGGCCCAGGCAGGCUCCGGCUGCCGCAGGAGAGGGGGCUGGGAAGUGUAGCCCCCAAGUGACACUCCUGACACACACAGGCUUUAACUUUGGAUAACAGGCACAUCCUAAAACACUCUGGGCUGGGCAUUCUCCAUUCUCUUUAAGCCAUGCACCUCUUUAAUACAACACUGCAGUUUUUAUGACAUUCUAGGGGAGGCCCUGGGUAGAGAACCUCUGUUGUAUGCUUCAAGAGCCUGGUUCCGCAGGGACCGAGGGAUCGUCCUCUCCCCACGCACUUUCAGAACCUGUGUGCAAAGGGACAGCAGGCUUCCUCCAGGUCAUUCCUGCUUUGGCUAGGGAAGGGAAGAGCUCUGUGCUGUGGUCUGAAUGUUUGUGCCUCCUGCCCCCAAUUCGUGUUUGAAAUCCUAACCCCCAAGGCAAUGGCAUUAAGAGGAGGGGCCUUUGGGAGGUGAUUAGACCAGGAGGGCAGAGCCUCCAUGAAGAGGAUCAGUGUCCUUAUAAGAGAAGCCCGAGGGAGCUGGUUUGCCCUUCCACCGUGUGAGGACGUGGGGCUAUCGGAAAAUGGGCCCUCCCUAGCCACUGAGUUUUCCUGUGCCCUGAUCUCGGAGUCUCCAGCCUCCAUAAUUGUGAGAAGUAAACUUCUGUUGCUUAUGAGCCACCCAGUUAAAAAGAGACAAAGGCGAGAAGAAUGAGAUAACACUAAAAAUACAUCUGCUCAGACAUCGCCUCCCAGCGUCAUAUGGCCCCGUACACAAACCUGGACUGAGGGACAGGAACCGUUUUCCUAUUUGGAACCUAUUUAGUGAAUAUUCUGUUUGGCUGGUGAGGCUGGCUGCUUGAUGAUAAGAAUGAAUCUCUGUCCCAUUCACGUACUGGAAAACACGGGUCAGCAACUCAUCAACCAAAGUUCUACUGGAACAAAACUUACAUAAAGAGAAUUCGGAGGACUAUGGUGUAAGAUGAGAAAGAGCAAUGUUUAGUCCUUGGAAAAAGAUAAUAAAUAUUUCAUUACUUUCCCUUUUACAA